GUCUCAAUACGCCAAGUAGAGGAGGCGAAUGCACCCCCCGGACAGCAGGUGGCGCCAUCUCCUCUUGGCGCGUUCCGGUGGAGAAUUUUGGCCCCGCCGCUACGCCGUAGGCCCGUGGCCUCACGGGUGCGGCAACAGCGUACGGUCCCCGGAAAGAUGUCGCUGCUGCGCUCACUGCGCCUCUGUUUGGUCGCGCGGGCCGGGAGCUGCCCAGUGGGGCCCCUUCUGCUUCAGUCGCCCCAGCCGUGGCAUACAUUUCACGCUGGGCCCUGGCUGUCCUCCUCGGCUUCCAGCAAGGAGCUCCUCAUGAAGCUGCGGCGGAGAACGGGCUACUCCUUUGUAAACUGCAAGAAGGCUCUGGAGACUUGUGGCAGGGAUCUCAAACAGGCAGAGAGCUGGCUCCACAAACAGGCCCAGAAGGAGGGCUGGAGUAAAGCUGCCAGGCUCCAUGGCAGGAAGACCAAAGAAGGUCUGAUUGGGCUGCUGCAGGAAGGAAACACGACUGUGUUAGUAGAGGUGAACUGUGAGACAGAUUUUGUUUCCAGAAAUUUAAAAUUUCAACAAUUGGUCCAGCAAGUAGCCCUGGGAACCCUGUUGCAUUGUCAGAGCCUAAAGGAUCAACUGUCUACAUAUAGUAAAGGCUUCUUGAAUUCCUCUGAGCUCUCUGAACUUCCAGCUGGGCGUGAGAGAGAAGGCUGUCUCAGGGAUCAGCUGGCCUUAGCAAUUGUUCAAGUAAAAUUGCUCUAUUGACGUGCAUCCAUAAACCAUAUAGAACUUACCUUGCCUUCGCUCUCAGCGGUCUUCCCAGUUUUCUGGCGGGUGUUCUCCUCUCAGCCAGCCUACACAGGGGCUACUGGAACCACUCCUUCAAAGUUCUUUUCAUCCAGCUCACUCCCUGCUCAGGUGUAUGUGCCUGCCAUGACUCUCCCUCCUGGAGACGGCCUGGACUGGCCAUCGACUCACCAGACCCCUCCCAGCUCUGCUGCAGGAACCCUCUGCUCCAGGUAGCCACAACCGGGCCUCCUUUCAUUUACCAUUUCUUUUUUUUUGGUGGUACACAGGCCUCUCACUGUUGUGGCCUCUCCCGUUGCGGAGCACAGGCUCCGGAUGCGCAGGCUCAGCGGCCAUGGCUCACGGGCCCAGCCGCUCCGCGGCAUGUGGGAUCUUCCCGGACAGGGGCACGAACCCGGGUCCCCUGCAUCGGCAGGCGGACUCUCAACCACUGCGCCACCAGGGAAGCCCUCAUUUACCAUUUCUUUAACCUUCAACAAGUCCCUCCCUCCUCCUGGCUAUUCAUCAAGCUUGGCAUCGUCUCAACACUCUUUGCUGAAAACGCACCUUCUGCAGGUAGACACCUCACCCCCACCCCCCACUCAUGUAAAUGUCAUCCCUUUUCCAUUAUUCACACCUCUCCUUGUUAGCCAGGAGUUCACAGUGUUUGAAGAUACGCCUUUUUAAAAAAUCUGUGGGUUCUGUAUAUUUCUCUAUACCCUCAACUAGACUGUAAAGAGCUGCUGUGCAGAGUCCAGCACUGGGACUGGGAGAGCACCUCAGCUGGGAGGAGGGUGGUGGGGUGAAGAAAGCUUCUAAUGGACACAGGAUAGUGCUGACCACCCAUGGAAGCCUCAAACCCCAUCUCCCUACAAGUAACUCUUCUAUCUGACUAUCAACACCACAGGAUCCUUAACCCUGGACUGAGCAGGUUGUGUAGGGCCAGAGCGUCACCUUAUUUAGAUUCAAGCGCUUUUUGAUAGAUGUGUACUGAGUAUGUAUUGUGGCAGAAUCCAGUGUAGGGACCCCAAGGGGAGGGGAAUCGGAGAAAGCUUUACAGAGGAGGAGAUGCCUUUUCUGGGGAGAAAGAAAUUCACCGGCUAGAUGGAAUGGGUGGGCAGGGGAGGAGAGAAAACAGCUAGUACUGACUUCCUUGUCUGUAACAGGCAGAUACACCAACUCUUCAGCUUUAGAGAAAAUGUAUUAAGUCAUAUAACAGUGCUGGUCACAUUCAGUAGGACCAGGGGAGAUAAAUAAAUGAUAGCUAUUACUACUAUUAAAUAAUUUAAUUUUAAACAGCUUGGCUGCAAAGAGAAAAAAAGUGACAGCUAGAGGGGGAUGAGGGGCUGCAUUUUUUAAGAUGCGAAAGCCUCGAAUGUGAAAGGUUACCAAUAAAAGCAGAGAGGCUGAAGUUACAGGAAAGGAUCAACUGAUGGAACACAAGCCCCGAGGAGCAGAAGACCCCGAGUUCCUGGGCUGGGCGUGGCCUGGCAGCAGCUCACCUGAGCCCUGGUGGCUGUGCUGCGACGGGGCUGGGGGGCAGCUGUAGCCUGUUGUCAGCAACUGCGGAGAGCAGGGGCUCCCACUCAACAUCAUUCUCUGGUGGGGCCUCCAGGUAUCUGUGAUGCGACUGUGGCCAAAUGCCAGAGGCCGGCCCUCCUACUUCUGAUCACUCUUCCAUCAUCAACUUUAGGCCACUUCACUGGCACCUGCAGUCAGGCUUCCAAGACAGCCCAGGACGAGUGUAAGAAGAGCUCCAGAUGUCCAGUUACCUUAAAGGAGCUAUGCACAAGGGUUUCAUCCAAGUCAAUGACCACGCAGAUUCUUCCUUGAUCUUCCUCUGUCACCUCCGGGAGCAGACAGGUCCCUGGAAUCUAAAACCAGAGCCAGGCUACUGAAUCUGCCACCAAGAAAGACUAAUUUUCCCCAAUAGAACUCUGGGAAGAGCUGGGCCCACUGAGGAGAUGGAAGCCCCCUACUUCAACCCAAGAGAGGCGACACUUAAAGGCCAAGAGGUAGAGAAAGAAGAGACUGAGCUGGCUCCUUCCUUCAGCCUGGGACUGUGAAGUGAUCCAGAUACUGGAGCUGGAGGCCAGAGCUGGUGAUGGAUACCGGCUGUCCCCCGCACAAUCUAAUGCCUUGCACGUGGUGGGCCCUCAGCAAAUAUCUGGGACAAACAGCUUCCAAGGGCAGGGAGUUAGCCAGCCAGACACAGAGGAAUGAGGGCUUCACCGCAUGGGGCAUGGGGUUAGAAGGUAUCACUGGGUGUUGGGGCUUCUGAGGCCAUACCCUGUGAGAUUCACAUACCUGAUAAAACUGGUACUGGAGACACUGGAGCAGAUCCGACUACGGGAGAAAAGAAGGUGGUCAGUGCCAGCCCACUAAUGCCUUUCCUGGUUGUCUAAAGCCCACUCAGGCCUGGAGGGGAAUUUUCUCCCCAAGACCCCAGCCCCCUGGAAAGCUCUGACACGACAAAAGUGACUUUCCUUAAGAGCUGGGCAGGAAAGGGGCCAAAAUCUUCUUUCCACACUCGGCCUGAUGCAGGAUGGAGAAGGAAGUGUCCCUGUUCUCAGCUGCCAUUGCCUCUCCAAGGAACAGGGGACUCAAGCAGCUGACGCAGGGACACAGAGUCAGAGGCAGAAUCAAAAUCGGAACUCCUCACUGUGGAGGUCUGGCCUCUUGCUUAGUCCCGAAACCCAGGCUGCUGUUUGAGAACAUGUGUUCUCUCCAUCCUCCUUGGGGGCCUAGAUUAGGGGGAGGUGCACUGAGCCCCUACAAAGCACAAGUAAGCCAAUGUGAGCCCACACUGUGGGUCCUGAAACGUGAGGGGAGGUAGAGUGCAGAGAGCUCGGAAAGCCUCUUCCCGCCUUCGGCUAAUAAGUAAAACGUUAUAAUGUAACAAGUAAGUGAUCUUAAUGGAAACCCUGAAGAAAAAUUAAAAUCCUAGCACUUAGAAAAACUUAA